AUUGAACGCUGGCGGCAUGCCUUACACAUGCAAGUCGAACGGCAGCACGGGUGCUUGCACCUGGUGGCGAGUGGCGAACGGGUGAGUAAUACAUCGGAACAUGUCCUGUAGUGGGGGAUAGCCCGGCGAAAGCCGGAUUAAUACCGCAUACGAUCUACGGAUGAAAGCGGGGGACCUUCGGGCCUCGCGCUAUAGGGUUGGCCGAUGGCUGAUUAGCUAGUUGGUGGGGUAAAGGCCUACCAAGGCGACGAUCAGUAGCUGGUCGGAGAGGACGACCAGCGACACUGGGACGGAGACACGGCCCAGACUCCUACGGGAGGCAGCAGUGGGGAAUUUUGGACAAUGGGCGAAAGCCUGAUCCAGCAAUGCCGCGUGUGUGAAGAAGGCCUUCGGGUUGUAAAGCACUUUUGUCCGGAAAGAAAUCCUUGGCCCUAAUACGGUCGGGGGAUGACGGUACCGGAAGAAUAAGCACCGGCUAACUACGUG
rnacentral:rRNA from 1 species